rfam:Colletotrichum orbiculare MAFF 240422 contig02376, whole genome shotgun sequence.
ACACACGACCAUACCUAUUGGAAAACUCGGGAUCCCGUCCGCUCUCCCAUAGAUAAGCCAAUAAGGGCCGGAUUAGUAGUUGGGUCGGUGACGACCAGCGAAUACCUGGUGUUGUAUGUG